ensembl:lncRNA
CUGGGAAGGUGAUGGGCACAGUUCUGACCAUGUUGGACUUGAAACCACUUGGACCAAAUUGACGGGAGGGGCAGCUGGGGACCCUGUAUGUGGUUCAAAGCUCAGUGAAGAGAUUGGGCUGGAGACACUGAUUGAAGAUUUAUCAGCAUUUGAAUGAAUGAUGGCUCUGGAAAGAGGGCUUCCCUGUGGCUCAGAAGGUAAAGGAUCUGUUUGCAAUGCAGGAGACCCUGGUUCAAUCCUGGCAUCAGGAAGUUCCCCUGGAGAAGGGCAGGGUGACCCACUCCAGGAUUCUUGCCUGGAGAAUCCCAGGGACAGAGGAGUCUGGAGGCUACAGUCCAUGGGGUCGCAGGAGUUGGACACGACUGAGCGGGUAACACUUCACUCUCUGGAAAGAGGAGGCCAGGAGAGUGAGCUCCACAGAGGGCAGGCCAGGGACGCCCCUUUGUCUGCGAGCAGAGACACCCAGCUGCGUGCGGGGAAGGCGAGGACAAGCUGGGCUUCAGGCACAGGUGGAUCCAGGGCACGAGUGCAGACUCAGCAAAAAGCAAAACCAAGCCGCCCCAGGACACCCGAUUCCAGCUGAAUUUCAGAUGAAGAAAGUAGGCCUGAGGCAUGUGGUCCUGGGGGACAGAGGCCGCGAGGCUGAGCCCUCGAAGAUGGAAAGUCGAUGCCAGUGAUCACAGAGGACGCAGGAGAGGACUGAAUGGCUGCUGCUCCGAGAGCUGUUGUUAAAUUUAAACUUGGCAGAAAAUUAGCCACCAUGGAAAUUCAUA